AGCUGAGAGGAGCUUGCUUUUCUUAGCUUAGUGGCGAACGGGUGAGUAACGCGUGAGUAACCUGCCCUGGAGUGGGGGACAACAGUUGGAAACGACUGCUAAUACCGCAUAAGCCCACGGCUCGGCAUCGAGCAGGGGGAAAAGGAGCAAUCCGCUUUGAGAUGGCCUCGCGUCCGAUUAGCUAGUUGGUGAGGUAACGGCCCACCAAGGCGACGAUCGGUAGCCGGACUGAGAGGGUGAACGGCCACAUUGGAACUGAGACACGGUCCAAACUCC
rnacentral:rRNA from 1 species